rnacentral:lncRNA from 1 species
CACAGAUGAGACCUCCAUAGUCACACAGCGACCUCCACAGCCACAUGCGACGUGACCUCCAUAGUCACACGAAGACCUCCAAAGCCACGUGGACGAGACCUCCAUAGUCACACACGACCUCCACAGCCACAUGGGACCAUGGGACGUGACCACCAUAGUCACCCAAAGACCUCCAUAGCCACACAGACGAGACCUCCAUAGUCACAUAGCGACCUCCACAGCCACACAGACGAGACCUCCAUAGUCACACAGCGACCUCUACAGCCACACGGGACUCGACCUCCAUAGCCACACAGCGACCUUCAGAGCCACAUGGACGAGACCUCCAUAGUCACACAGCGACCUCUACAGCCACACGGGACUCGACCUCCAUAGCCACACAGCGACCUCCACAGCCACACGGGACGCGACCUCCAUAGUCACACAGAGACCUCCACGGCCACAUGGACGAGACCUCCAUAGUCACACAGCAACCUCCAUAGUCACACAGCGACCUCCAUAGUCACACAGUAACCUCCAUGGUCACACAGCGACCUCCACAGCCACAUGGGACGCGACCUCCAUAGUCACACAGCGACCUCCACGGCCACAUGGGACGUGACCUCCAUGGUCACAGAGACCUCCACAGCCACAUGGAUGAGACCUCCACAGUCACACAGCGACCUCCAUAGUCACAUAGUGACCUCCAUAGUCACACAGCAACCUCCACAGUCACACAGCGACCUCCACAGCCACACGGGAUGUGACCUCCAUACUCCCACACAGACCUCCAUAGCCACACGGACGAGAGAGACCUCCAUAGUCACACAGCGACCUCCACAGCCACACGGAACGCGACUUCCAUGGUCACAUAGUGACCUCCAUAGUCACACAGUGACCUCCACAGCCACACGGGACGCGACCUCCACAGUCACACAGGAUGCAACCUCCACA